rnacentral:rRNA from 1 species
GACAGAGGGUGCAAACGUUGCUCGGAAUUACUGGGCGUAAAGCGCGCGUAGGUGGAUUGGUGUGUCAGAUGUGAAAGCCCUGGGCUCAACCCAGGAAUUGCACCUGAAACUACCAGUCUUGAGUGGUGGAGAGGGAAGUGGAAUUCCUGGUGUAGAGGUGAAAUUCGUAGAUAUCAGGAGGAACACCAGUGGCGAAGGCGGCUUCCUGGACACCAACUGACGCUGAGACGCGAAAGCGUGGGGAGCAAACAGG